UGCAUAUCCCAAAAGCGGAGGAAAAGAAACCAACAGGGAUUGCCUCAGUAGCGGCGAGUGAGCGGCAAGAGCUCAGAUUUGAAAUCGUGCUUUGCGGCACGAGUUGUAGAUUGCAGGUUGGAGUCUGUGUGGAAGGCGGUGUCCAAGUCCCUUGGAACAGGGCGCCCAGGAGGGUGAGAGCCCCGUGGGAUGCCGGCGGAAGCAGUGAGGCCCUUCUGACGAGUCGAGUUGUUUGGGAAUGCAGCUCCAAGCGGGUGGUAAAUUCCAUCUAAGGCUAAAUACUGGCGAGAGACCGAUAGCGAACAAGUACUGUGAAGGAAAGAUGAAAAGCACUUUGAAAAGAGAGUGAAACAGCACGUGAAAUUGUUGAAAGGGAAGGGUAUUGCGCCCGACAUGGGGAUUGCGCACCGCUGCCUCUCGUGGGCGGCGCUCUGGGCUUUCCCUGGGCCAGCAUCGGUUCUUGCUGCAGGAGAAGGGGUUCUGGAACGUGGCUCUUCGGAGUGUUAUAGCCAGGGCCAGAUGCUGCGUGCGGGGACCGAGGACUGCGGCCGUGUAGGUCACGGAUGCUGCAGAACGAAACAACACCGCCCGUCUUGAAACAACGGACCACA
rnacentral:rRNA from 1 species